AGCAAUGCACCCUCAACAGACCCACGGGGGCUCACGAGCUCCCAGCAAUGCACCCUCAACAGACUCAUGGGGGGCUCACGAGCUCCUGGUCCAAGGCCUCCUUUGGCAGCCGGGACUCAAGAGGGAGAAGAGUGAGCGCUUGGCCGCACGGUUGGUCAAAUCAACUCUUAGAGGUUAUGACCCUUCUCAGCUAUGGCCUCCACCAAACCACACAUGUUGAGUGGAGGGGAAGUGGCCUCUGUGGCUGCCCCAGCUGGCAGAGUGUGGUGUGUCCUGCUCUGAACUGGGUCCCCAGAAGGCACUGAUCCCAGCUGGCCUGGUGUGACUCCUUGGUGUCCAGCUGCUUAUGACCAGCACAGUGAGGGGCUGUCGUCACCACCGCCACUGGUACCUGCAGAGCCGAGUCCACUCCUGGGGCCGGCUGGGUCAGGGUGCAGCCAGGGUGUGGGGCACCAGGGAGCUCUCCGGGACCCCCAAAGCCAGAUGCGGCCCUGUCUACUCGUGCUCUGUGGACAGAGAAGGCAGAGUCCCAGGACACUGUGCUCAGGAAAGCGAGCUCCAGAGGAGGCUGAGGAGAUUUGGGAGCGCCCAGGACAGCCUGGCUCUGCGCAGGUCCAUGGGAAAACCUUCCACUCUCCCCUUUCAGGGAGGUCUGGGGGCUUGGCUGCCCCUCAGCGGGCCAUGGCGACUUCUAAGCAUUUCUGCAAUGGAUGCAGCUCUGACCUGUGGGGCUGGGUAGGAGCCUCCAGCCCUGGCCCCUCCGCCCCAACCCUUGCUAGCGGCACGACUGUGGGUGAACAGCAGCACCUGCCAGCCUCAGUUUCCCUGUCUGUGAAGGGAUGCACAAUGUCAGUGUGACCCCCGGAAGCUGCAGUGAGGAUGGGGGCCAGGAGGUCAGGAGAGCAGCCCGUUUGUGGAACACGGCCCCACUGACUUCAGCUGCUGGGGCAGAAGGAGCCAUGAGAAGAGUCUAUCUCCCGGGGGCUUCAUGUGUCUUUUUGCUGCAUUUUACUCGCAUAUGACCCUCCUAGUCCAUGUAAGAGAAAAUAAGUUUAUGGAACAAACCCAGUAUUUACUUAACUUUUAAAAUAUAAGCUUCACAGUCCAGCGUUACAUAAAAA
rnacentral:antisense_RNA from 1 species